rnacentral:rRNA from 1 species
GCGGUAUGCUUACACAUGCAGUUGAACGCAAAUCUUUUAGAUUUGAGUAGCGAACGGGUGAGUAACACGUGAGAAUCUACCUCUAGGAGGGGCAUAAAAAACCCCAUAUGCCGUAAGGUGAAAUGGAUUUAAUAAUUCGCCUGGAGAUGAGCUCGCGUCUGAUUAGCUAGUUGGUGAGGUAAUAGCUCACCAAGGCCACUAUCAGUAGCUGGUCUGAGAGGACGAACAGCCACACUGGGACUGAGAUACGGCCCAGACUCCUCCGGGAGGCAGCAGUGGGGAAUUUUCCGCAAUGGGCGAAAGCCUGACGGAGCAAUACCGCGUGAUGGAUGAAGGCUCGUGGGUCGUAAACAUCUUUUCCCAAGGAAGAAGCUCUGACGGUACUUGGGGAAUAAGCAUCGGCUAAUUCCGUGCCAGCAGCCGCGGUAAUACGGGAGAUGCGAGCGUUAUCCGGAAUCACUGGGCGUAAAACGUCUGUAGGUGGUUUGUUAAGUCUGUUGUUAAAAACUGAAGCUCAACUUCAGAGGUGCGGCAGAAACUGGCAGACUUGAGUAUGUUAGGGGUAGGAGGAAUUUCUAGUGUAGCGGUGAAAUGCGUAGAUAUUAGGAAGAACACCAUUAGCGAAGGCGUCCUACUGGGCCAUAACUGACACUGAGAGACGAAAGCUAGGGUAGCAAACGGGAUUAGAUACCCCGGUAGUCCUAGCCGUAAACGAUGGAUACUAGAUGUCGCGGGUUUACCUGCGGUGUCGUAGCUAACGCGUUAAGUAUCCCGCCUGGGAAGUACGCACGCAAGUGUGAAAUCA